rnacentral:rRNA from 1 species
UACAGAGGGUGCGAGCGUUAAUCGGAAUUACUGGGCGUAAAGCGCGCGUAGGCGGCUUUGCAAGCCGGAUGUGAAAUCCCCGGGCUUAACCUGGGAACUGCAUUCGGGACUGCAUUGCUAGAGUAUGGGAGAGGGAAGUGGAAUUUCAGGUGUAGCGGUGAAAUGCGUAGAUAUCUGAAGGAACAUCAGUGGCGAAGGCGGGUCUCUGGGCCGAUACUGACGCUGAGGAGCGAAAGCGUGGGGAGCGAACAGG